rnacentral:rRNA from 1 species
UACGAGGGGGGCAAAUGUUGUUCGGAAUCACUGGGCGUAAAGGGAGCGUAGGCGGGUUCUUAAGUAAGGUGUUUAAUCCCGGGGCCCAACCCCGGACCGGCACUUUAAACUGGGAAUCUUGAAUAGUGGAGAGGUCAGUGGAAUUGGGGGUGUAGCGGUGGAAUGCGUAGAGAUCCCCAAGAACACCAGUUGCGAAGGCGGCUGACUGGACACAUAUUGACGCUGAGCUCGAAAGCAUGGGGAGCAAACAGG